UACGAAGGGGGCUAGCGUUGCUCGGAAUCACUGGGCGUAAAGGGCGCGUAGGCGGCCGAUCAAGUCAGGGGUGAAAGCCUGUGGCUCGACCACAGAAUUGCCUUUGAUACUGUUUGGCUGGAGACCGGAAGAGGUCAGUGGAACUGCGAGUGUAGAGGUGAAAUUCGUAGAUAUUCGCAAGAACACCGGUGGCGAAGGCGGGUCUCUGGGCCGAUACUGACGCUGAGGAGCGAAAGCGUGGGGAGCAAACAGG
rnacentral:rRNA from 1 species